rnacentral:rRNA from 1 species
UCCACGCCGUAAACGAUGAAUGCUAGGUGUCGGGAGUCGAAUCUCGGUGCCGCAGCUAACGCAUUAAGCAUUCCACCUGGGGAGUACGAUCGCAAGAUUGAAACUCAAAGGAAUUGACGGGGGCCCGCACAAGCGGUGGAGCAUGUGGUUUAAUUCGAAGCAACGCGAAGAACCUUACCAGGUCUUGACAUCCCUUUGACCGGUCUCUAAUAGGACCUUCUCUUCGGAGCAAAGGUGACAGGUGGUGCAUGGUUGUCGUCAGCUCGUGUCGUGAGAUGUUGGGUUAAGUCCCGCAACGAGCGCAACCCUUAUCUUUAGUAGCCAGCACGUUAUGGUGGGGACUCUAGAGAGACUGCCGAGGAUAACUCGGAGGAAGGUGGGGAUGACGUCAAAUCAUCAUGCCCCUUAUGAUCUGGGCUACA